GAUUAUGGCUCAGGAUGAACGCUGGCGGCGUGCUUAACACAUGCAAGUCGAACGAAGCUAAGGGAGCUUGCUCCCAAAGCUUAGUGGCGGACGGGUGAGUAACGCGUGGGUAACCUGCCCUAUAGAGGGGGAUAACGUUCGGAAACGAACGCUAAUACCGCAUAAACCAUAAAGAGCUGCAUGGCUCUGAUGGCAAAGAUUUAUCGCUAUAGGAUGGACCUGCGUUGGAUUAGCUAGUUGGUGAGAUAACAGCUCACCAAGGCGACGAUCCAUAGCCGGCCUGAGAGGGUGAACGGCCACAUUGGGACUGAGACACGGCCCAAACUCCUACGGGAGGCAGCAGUGGGGAAUAUUGCACAAUGGGCGCAAGCCUGAUGCAGCGACGCCGCGUGAAGGAAGAAGGUCUUCGGAUUGUAAACUUCUAUCAGCAGGGAAGAAUAAAUGACGGUACCUGACUAAGAAGCCCGGCUAACUACGUGCCAGCCGCCGC
rnacentral:rRNA from 1 species